rnacentral:lncRNA from 1 species
UUCGGCCGAUGGGGCCGCUGUCGCCGAACCCCGAGCUGCUGGCUUCUCAAACUCCGCCACUCCACGGUUCUGGGCCCCGGGAUCAGACGAGCCCCCCGCUCCCCCGUCUCUUCAAAAUGGAUGAAUCAAACCAGCCGAAAAUGCGCCAAAGCUGCGACAUUUGUUGGAUGCCUGAAAUGCUCAGAGACAGAGCUCAGGAACCCUCCGGGAGCACGGAAACAGCUGAGACUUACUCCACCACUGUAAUCCAACUUAGUCCUGGCCAGAGGAUUUGCCACAAGGUAUCCGACAGGAGCAGGACCAUUCUACAUGCCCAUCAGCAAUGCACAGGUGUUCCAAUCCCUGGUCUCCUUGCCAGCACUCCGUUUGUUUUCUGGGUAACAGCCAUCCUACCAGUGGACAAGCUCAGAACUCUGUCUGCCACGGGCCAGGGAAUGAGCUUCAAGGUCAGUUCCCUCCAAACAGCCUGCCGUGUGCUCCUGUCCCAACCACAGCUUCGAGGUUGGGAACUGAAGAAAGACACCAGUCAUGGAUCAGGUUUUAAAGCCGCAUCUGAUAUCACCGAAGAGACACUAUGUAUAAUAAAUCUAUGAGAAACUAUGAAAACAAAAAAGGUGCAGGUGACAAAAAAGGUAGGGUUAUUCCUUAUUACUCAAAAUGAAAUCUAGAACCGGGUGUGGUGGCAUUUGCCUAUAGUUCCAGCUACUUGGGAGGCUGAGGCAGGAAAGUUAUUGAGCCCAAGGGUUUGAUUAUUUUUUUGAUACAAGGGAUCGAACUCUGGACCU